UCAGGACGAACGCUGGCGGCGUGCUUAACACAUGCAAGUCGAACGAGAAUUCGUGGAUAGAGGUUUCGGCCAAUUGAAGCGGAGGAAAGUGGCGGACGGGUGAGUAACGCGUGAGGAACCUGCCUUUCAGAGGGGGACAACAGUUGGAAACGACUGCUAAUACCGCAUGAUGCAUCGGAGUCGCAUGGCUCUUAUGCCAAAGAUUUAUCGCUGAAAGAUGGCCUCGCGUCUGAUUAGCUAGUUGGUGAGGUAACGGCCCACCAAGGCGACGAUCAGUAGCCGGACUGAGAGGUUGAACGGCCACAUUGGGACUGAGAUACGGCCCAGACUCCUACGGGAGGCAGCAGUGGGGAAUAUUGGGCAAUGGGCGCCAAGCCUGACCCAGCAACGCCGCGUGAAGGAAGAAGGCUUUCGGGUUGUAAACUUCUUUUGUUGGGGACGAGUAGAAGACGGUACCUGACGAAUAAGCCACGGCUAACUACGUGCCAGCAGCGGC
rnacentral:rRNA from 1 species